GUGUUAAACUAAGUUUUGGAAAACUAUCUAGUGUGCCAUGGUCAUAUCCUUUAUGCCCAGUUAAGGACUCUAAGGUGGCUAGUUAAGUACUGACUUGGGGGGUUAAUGCAUCAUAUUUCUAUUUCGUCGCUCAUACGAUGUGCAAUAGUAUGAGUACCAUUCAUUUGAGUGGUAAUGUAUGGAUCAAUUUUUCCUCUACGCCACGGUAAGUGGGAGCUGUGAGAGCAUGAUCGGAUACACUGCCGGUCUAGGGGAGUGUUGUUAGGUGCUGUGUCAUGCACCCAUGUUUUGGUGUGCCUUGGAAACAGUACCGCAUGUUGGGAGUUCCGUCCUGAGAGGCGAUGCCGUCAUUAGGGCGAUGAUGUGGGUAGUAACACCUCACAUGCAUGGACGGGUGUCAGUGUAUGUGAAGUGCAUAGUUUUAAAUUUUUUUUUUUGCAUUAGCAUACUGUGGGUGGGCUGAAAUGAGUUUUCUGCAGGUACCCUAACCACGUUCUCGCUUAGAACGCUAGUUACGUUAUGAGAGAACGUUGUGUGCCACCGCAUAUACCGCUUAGUGUUAACCCUUAUUUCUAAGUUUGUGAGAUCGUAAGUUCGUGCAUGCAUCAUGUUCAUGUCAUAUCAUUGCUUACUUUCCCCCUUAAUUUAAUCUAUCCCAAUUCUAAAUAAAGUAAUUAAAGAUAAUCCUUACUCUUACCCACGGUAUUCCAUUUGC
rnacentral:lncRNA from 1 species